ensembl:misc_RNA Metazoa_SRP Metazoan signal recognition particle RNA
GCUGGGCAUGGUGGCGCAUGCCUGUAAUCCCAGCUACUCGGGAGGCUGAGACACGAGAAUUGCUUGAACCUGGGAGGCGAAGGUUGCAGUGAGCCGAGAUUGUGCCAUUGCACUCCAACCUUCUAGCCUGGGUGACAGAGCAAGACUGUCUCAC